rnacentral:rRNA from 1 species
UGACGAGUGGCGGACGGGUGAGUAAUGUCUGGGAAACUGCCCGAUGGAGGGGGAUAACUACUGGAAACGGUAGCUAAUACCGCAUAACGUCGCAAGACCAAAGUGGGGGACCUUCGGGCCUCACACCAUCGGAUGUGCCCAGAUGGGAUUAGCUAGUAGGUGGGGUAAUGGCUCACCUAGGCGACGAUCCCUAGCUGGUCUGAGAGGAUGACCAGCCACACUGGAACUGAGACACGGUCCAGACUCCUACGGGAGGCAGCAGUGGGGAAUAUUGCACAAUGGGCGCAAGCCUGAUGCAGCCAUGCCGCGUGUAUGAAGAAGGCCUUCGGGUUGUAAAGUACUUUCAGCGAGGAGGAAGGCAUUGUGGUUAAUAACCGCAGUGAUUGACGUUACUCGCAGAAGAAGCACCGGCUAACUCCGUGCCAGCAGCCGCGGUAAUACGGAGGGUGCAAGCGUUAAUCGGAAUUACUGGGCGUAAAGCGCACGCAGGCGGUCUGUCAAGUCGGAUGUGAAAUCCCCGGGCUCAACCUGGGAACUGCAUUCGAAACUGGCAGGCUAGAGUCUUGUAGAGGGGGGUAGAAUUCCAGGUGUAGCGGUGAAAUGCGUAGAGAUCUGGAGGAAUACCGGUGGCGAAGGCGGCCCCCUGGACAAAGACUGACGCUCAGGUGCGAAAGCGUGGGGAGCAAACAGGAUUAGAUACCCUGGUAGUCCACGCCGUAAACGAUGUCGACUUGGAGGUUGUUCCCUUGAGGAGUGGCUUCCGGAGCUAACGCGUUAAGUCGACCGCCUGGGGAGUACGGCCGCAAGGUUAAAACUCAAAUGAAUUGACGGGGGCCCGCACAAGCGGUGGAGCAUGUGGUUUAAUUCGAUGCAACGCGAAGAACCUUACCUACUCUUGACAUCCAGAGAAUUUAGCAGAGAUGCUUUAGUGCCUUCGGGAACUCUGAGACAGGUGCUGCAUGGCUGUCGUCAGCUCGUGUUGUGAAAUGUUGGGUUAAGUCCCGCAACGAGCGCAACCCUUAUCCUUUGUUGCCAGCGGUUCGGCCGGGAACUCAAAGGAGACUGCCAGUGAUAAACUGGAGGAAGGUGGGGAUGACGUCAAGUCAUCAUGGNCCCUUACGAGUAGGGCUACACACGUGCUACAAUGGCAUAUACAAAGAGAAGCGACCUCGCGAGAGCAAGCGGACCUCAUAAAGUAUGUCGUAGUCCGGAUCGGAGUCUGCAACUCGACUCCGUGAAGUCGGAAUCGCUAGUAAUCGUAGAUCAGAAUGCUACGGUGAAUACGUUCCCGGGCCUUGUACACACCGCCCGUCACACCAUGGGAGUGGGUUGCUAAAGAAGUAGGUAGCUCAACC